rnacentral:rRNA from 1 species
UACAGAGGUGGCGAGCGUUAAUCGGAAUUACUGGGCGUAAAGCGCGCGUAGGCGGCUUUGCAAGUCGGGUGUGGAAAUCCCCCAGGCUUAACCUGGGAACUGCAUUCGAGACUGCAUUGCUAGAGUAUGGGAGAGGGAAGUGGAAUUUCCGGUGUAGCGGUGAAAUGCGUAGAUAUCGGAAGGAACAUCAGUGGCGAAAGCGACUUCCUGGACCAAUACUGACGCUCAUGAUGCGAAAGCGUGGGGAGCAAACAGG